UACGAAGGGUGCAAGCGUUACUCGGAAUUACUGGGCGUAAAGCGUGCGUAGGUGGUUCGUUAAGUCUGAUGUGAAAGCCCUGGGCUCAACCUGGGAAUGGCAUUGGAAACUGGCGAUCUAGAGUGCGGUAGAGGGGGGUGGAAUUCCACGUGUAGCAGUGAAAUGCGUAGAGAUGUGGAGGAACACCGAUGGCGAAGGCAGCCCCCUGGGCUAACACUGACGCUCAUGCACGAAAGCGUGGGGAGCAAACAGG
rnacentral:rRNA from 1 species